rnacentral:rRNA from 1 species
AACGAACGCUGGCGGCAUGCCUAACACAUGCAAGUCGAACGAGACCUUCGGGUCUAGUGGCGCACGGGUGCGUAACGCGUGGGAACCUGCCCUUAGGCUCGGAAUAACUCCCCGAAAGGGGUGCUAAUACCGGAUAAUGUCUUCGGACCAAAGAUUUAUCGCCUUUGGAUGGGCCCGCGUUGGAUUAGCUAGUUGGUAGGGUAAAAGCCUACCAAGGCGACGAUCCAUAGCUGGUCUGAGAGGAUGAUCAGCCACACUGGGACUGAGACACGGCCCAGACUCCUACGGAAGGCAGCAGUGGGGAAUAUUGGACGAUGGGCGAAAGUCUGAUCCAGCAAUGCCGCGUGAGUGAUGAAGGCCUUAGGGUUGUAAAGCUCUUUUACCCGGGAUGAUAAUGACAGUACCGGGAGAAUAAGCUCCGGCUAACUCCGUG